GACGUCGCCGGGAACUCCUCCGCUGCCGUCGCUGUCCGCAGCCGCGAAGACCUCUCCGGAAACUCCUCCGCGAAGGUUGGUUACUCUUGAUCUCUCGACGUUUUGUAGUUGGUAGGCCACUAAAACUUGAGAAUCCCAACUUAAAACUCUUAUUUGGCAAUGCAACUGAGCUUAGAGAAAUUUAUCUUGAUGGUGUUAAUAUCUCAGCUAAAGGUAGUGAGUGGUGUGAAACCUUAUCUUCAUCUUUGCCUAAUUUGAGAGUAUUGAGCUUGCGAAAUUGUCAUCUUUCUGGGCCUAUACACCCUUCCCUUUUGAAGCUUCACUCUCUGUCUGUAAUCCAACUAGACCAAAAUAAUCUGUCCAGUGCAGUUCCAGAAUUCUUGGCGAAUUUGACUGCCCUGAGCCUUGGCAACUGUCAGCUGCAGGGAGAAUUUCCAAAAGCAAUUUUACAGCUACUGGUAACAUUCUUGGCUGUCAACUUUUUAAGAAAAUUACUUUCACAUUGAUGCAUCCGGGACUGCUUUUAUCUGUAAAGUUGAGUGCUCUCUUGCUUAUAGCUUCUACUUAGGAUCUUUGAUUGUAUUAUUUAGAUGGACACUUAGACAGUAUGCUUCUCUCUAUAUGGAAUGGUUUGCUGAAAAUGUUUGACAAGCACCUACAUGUGCAUUUAGUUGUAGACUUGUAGUAGUUUAGAAUUAAUUCCUAAGGUAGUAGUGUCAUGUUCAACACUUCGUUUAUUAGAUCAAAUGCUUUGAUGGUUAAUCGAGAUGAAAUUGACAUCCUCUGGAAUGUCAAGGAUCAAUUCCCCAAGGACUUCAGAGCAGAGAUUGUGUUCUCGGAGAUGGAUUCGGGUUCUUCCAACAUUAAAGCACAUUCAUUGCAUAGUGCUGAAGAGAAAGGUCUCCCCGUUGAAGCCUAUGGGCUGAAACACAGAAACCUGAGGAAGCUGCCCAGGCUCCUGAAUUCGACAUGUCUGAACUUGAGACUCUCUUCUCAGCAACUGUUCCAGAUUCAGGUCGCAGAAAUGGAGGUGGAAAAUCAGGUAAUGCUGCAGGAGCUAAGGCUGAUAAAGUGCAUUUGUGUUCUGUUCUAGCGCUGGAUGAUUCAACAUUGGACAUUGAUCAGAUUGAGAAUCUUAUAAAAUUUUGUCCUACUAAGGAAGAAAUGGAACUUCUAAAGAAUUACAAGGGAGAGAAGGAAAACCUUGGAAAAUGUGAACAGGCAAGUGGUGUUUGACUUUUGUUUUCUUUAUCCUUUUUCUCCACUGCCUGUUUGACAAUAAAACUCGUAACUCAACAUAUUGCUCCUUUUGAAUUUGGACCUGUCAAAUAAUCAGAACCUUAGUGGUGGGAUCCCAGAAU